GACGAACGCUGGCGGCGUGCUUAACACAUGCAAGUCGAACGGAAAGGCCUGCUUUUGUGGGGUGCUCGAGUGGCGAACGGGUGAGUAACACGUGAGUAACCUGCCCUUGACUUUGGGAUAACUUCAGGAAACUGGGGCUAAUACCGGAUAGGAGCCCCUGCUGCAUGGGGGGGGUUGGAAAGGUUCGGCGGUUGGGGAUGGACUCGCGGCUUAUCAGCUUGUUGGUGGGGUAGUGGCUUACCAAGGCUUUGACGGGUAGCCGGCCUGAGAGGGUGACCGGCCACAUUGGGACUGAGAUACGGCCCAGACUCCUACGGGAGGCAGCAGUGGGGAAUAUUGCACAAUGGGCGGAAGCCUGAUGCAGCAACGCCGCGUGCGGGAUGACGGCCUUCGGGUUGUAAACCGCUUUCGCCUGUGACGAAGCGUGAGUGACGGUAAUGGGUAAAGAAGCACCGGCUAACUACGUG
rnacentral:rRNA from 1 species